rnacentral:rRNA from 1 species
UACGAAGGGGGCUAGCGUUGCUCGGAAUUACUGGGCGUAAAGGGCGCGUAGGCGGGUCGUUAAGUUAGAGGUGAAAGCCCAGGGCUCAACCCUGGAAUUGCCUUUAAUACUGUCGACCUUGAGUAUGGCAGAGGUGUGUGGAACUCCGAGUGUAGAGGUGAAAUUCGUAGAUAUUCGGAAGAACACCAGUGGCGAAGGCGACACACUGGGCCAUUACUGACGCUGAGGCGACGGAAAGCGUGGGGAGCAAACAGG